rnacentral:tRNA from 1 species
GCUAUAUAGUUAAUUUGACAAUUAAGAGUUUUAUAUGCUCUAGGCUGUAGGUUCAAAUCCUACUCUAAGCA